rnacentral:rRNA from 1 species
GACGAACGCUGGCGGCGUGCCUAAUACAUGCAAGUUGAGCGCUGAAGGUUGGUACUUGUACCAACUGGAUGAGCAGCGAACGGGUGAGUAACGCGUGGGGAAUCUGCCUUUGAGCGGGGGACAACAUUUGGAAACGAAUGCUAAUACCGCAUAAAAACUUUAAACACAAGUUUUAAGUUUGAAAGAUGCAAUUGCAUCACUCAAAGAUGAUCCCGCGUUGUAUUAGCUAGUUGGUGAGGUAAAGGCUCACCAAGGCGAUGAUACAUAGCCGACCUGAGAGGGUGAUCGGCCCCAUUGGGACUGAGACACGGCCCAAACUCCUACGGGAGGCAGCAGUAGGGAAUCGUCGGCGAUGGACGAAAGUCUGACCGAGCAACGCCGCGUGAGUGAAGAAGGUUUUCGGAUCGUAAAACUCUGUUGGUAGAGAAGAACGUUGGUGAGAGUGGAAAGCUCAUCAAGUGACGGUAACUACCCAGAAAGGGACGGCUAACUACGUG